rnacentral:rRNA from 1 species
GACGAACGCUGGCGGCGUGCUUAACACAUGCAAGUCGAACGGUAAGGCCCUUCGGGGUACACGAGUGGCGAACGGGUGAGUAACACGUGGGCAAUCUGCCCCUUUGAUCGGGACAACCCGGGGAAACCCGGGCUAAUACCGAAUGAGGUGGCGACUCAUGAGAGUCGUCACGAAAGGAAGCUUCGGCCUCCGCGAAGGGAUGAGCCCGCGGCCCAUUAGCUUGUUGGUGGGGUAAUGGCCUACCAAGGCAACGAUGGGUAGCUGGUCUGAGAGGACGAUCAGCCACACUGGGACUGAGACACGGCCCAGACUCCUACGGGAGGCUGCAGUGGGGAAUCUUGCGCAAUGAGCGACAGCUUGACGCAGCAACGCCGCGUGAGGGAAGAAGGCUUUCGGGUCGUAAACCUCUUUCAGUUAGGACGAAGCUUUAUUGGUUAAUAACCAAUUGGAGUGACGGUACCUACAGAAGAAGGACCGGCCAACUACGUGCCAGCCGCCGCAGUAA